rnacentral:rRNA from 1 species
UACGUAGGGUGCGAGCGUUUGUCCGGAAUUAUUGGGCGUAAAGGGCUUCGUAGGCGGUUUGUCGCGUCGGGAGUGAAAACCAUGGGCUUAACUCAUGGCUUGCUUUCGAUACGGGCAGACUAGAGGUAUGCAGGGGAGAACGGAAUUCCUGGUGUAGCGGUGAAAUGCGCAGAUAUCAGGAGGAACACCGGUGGCGAAGGCGGUUCUCUGGGCAUGACCUGACGCUGAGGAGCGAAAGUGUGGGGAGCGAACAGG